GACGAACGCUGGCGGCGUGCUUAACACAUGCGAGUCGAACGGAAAGGCCCUGCUUUUGUGGGGUGCUCGAGUGGCGAACGGGUGAGUAACACGUGAGUAACCUGCCCUUGACUUUGGGAUAACUUCAGGAAACUGGGGCUAAUACCGGAUAGGAGCUCCUGCUGCAUGGGGGGGGUUGGAAAGUUUCGGCGGUUGGGGAUGGACUCGCGGCUUAUCAGCUUGUUGGUGGGGGAGUGGCUUACCAAGGCUUUGACGGGUAGCCGGCCUGAGAGGGUGACCGGCCACAUUGGGCCUGAGAUACGGCCCAGACUCCUACGGGAGGCAGCAGUGGGGAAUAUUGCACAAUGGGCGGAAGCCUGAUGCAGCAACGCCGCGUGCGGGAUGACGGCCUUCGGGUUGUAAACCGCUUUCGCCUGUGACGAAGCGUGAGUGACGGUAAUGGGUAAAGAAGCACCGGCUAACUACGUG
rnacentral:rRNA from 1 species